GUGAAGACGUAGUGAAAUGCGAUAAGUAAUGUGAAUUGCAGAAUUCAGUGAAUCAUCGAAUCUUUGAACGCACCUUGCGCCCCUUGGUUAUUCCAAAGGGCAUGCCUGUUUGAGUAUCAUGAACACCUCAACUCUUGUGGUUUCCCACAAUGAGCUUGGACUGUGGAGGUUUUGUUGGCCCUGUGGUCAGCUCCUCUCAAAUGGAUCAGCUUACCGGUGUUUGGUGGCAUUACGGGUGUGAUAACUAUCUACGCUCGUGGUCGUCUCCAAAUAACCUCCAGUGAUGGAGGUUCGCUGGAGCUUAUAAAUGUCUCUCCCCAGUGAAGACAGCCUUUGAACGUUCGAUCUCAAAUCAGGUAGGACUACCCGCUGAACUUAAGCAUAUCAAUAAGCGGAGGA
rnacentral:misc_RNA from 1 species